rnacentral:rRNA from 1 species
UGCGUAGGCGGGCUAAUAAGUCAGUGGUGAGAUCUCUCGGCUCAACCGGGAAACUGCCAUUGAUACUGUUAGUCUUGAGUUCGGUUGAGGUAGGCGGAAUGUGUAAUGUAGCGGUGAAAUGCUUAGAUAUUACACAGAACACCAAUUGCGUAGGCAGCUUACUAGACCGACACUGACGCUGAGGCACGAAAGCGUGGGGAGCGAACAGGAUUAGAUACCCUGGUAGUCC